UCAGAUUUGUGGGUUGUGCUGCUGCAUAAGGUUGGAGGUGUAAUUUUCCCUCCCCGCCGCUAGGAGGCGAGUAUGCCUUGAGAUGACUUUCUGUUAGUCAACAUUUCCUGUUGUGGAAGCCAUUACUCACGAGGCAACCGCUACUCACGAGGCAACCGCCAAAUUAGCUGAAAGAUCCUGGAUCUGAGAUCUGUGAAAUACGGCCGUGGGAAGCUGCGUCAGCUGGACGAGCUAUCUCACCACGAGCUCCGAUUGGUUUUUGACCAGGACUGGAUCAUUUGAGAUCUGAACCCUGUGGGUUCAGUGGCGAGCCAAUCCCGAGAGAGUGACUGUCGACGGACCCGAGUGCGGUGUGGCCAGCCGUGGGAUCCAUCUUCAGCGAACCUCAGGACUAUUACUACCUUCCUUGAUACAGAUAAGACUAACACUUUAAAAAUCUACCCGGGUAGUGUUAGAACCAAUGGACAGAAACACACACACACAAGGAACUCUAAUUUCUCUUUCUAAAGAGAAGUGGA